UUGUGAUGUUUGCUAUACAAUUACGGAUACUUUGAUUUAGUUCUUUGAAACAUGUUUGUAUCACUGAUUUGGAUUGGCUACAAGAUAUAAAUUCCUAAUGUACGUCUGGUACCCUGUGUUAACUCUCCUAGCAUUGUAUUACUGGUGUGACGGUUUUGUUGUUGUGGGUUUUGAGCUUGGUGGUAACUGGUAAGGGUGUGUGACGCUCUGUUGUGAAGCCCAGAAGACUGAGAGCAAUGCUGAAAAAGCAAGGCAUAAAAGGCCCUCCAACUACUUUUUGCUUGGUAAUUUGGGCGAUGUGAAUGAAGCACAAGCUAGCUCCAAAAGCCGCCUCCUGGAGAGAGAAAGGAAUUGUGCACAAUGUCCCUGCUAUUAUUUUUCCUACUUUCCCUCAAUGGACUAAGCAAUAUGGUCCAACAUUCAUGUUCUCACUAGGCAAGGCAACAUGGAAUUUGUGCACAUAAAUGAUCCAGAAAUCAUGAAGGAAAUCACUUUAUACACUUCCUUGGGCUUUGGAAAGCCAUCUUUCCCACAGAAACUGUUUGAUCCUUUGCUAGACCGAGGCAUUGUCAACGCCAAUGGAUCUGAAUGGUCUCAACAAAGAAAAAUCCUUGCUCCUGAGUUUUUCAACAAGGUGGUCAAGAUAUAUAAGUAUCCAUCAAAUUUAUUAUUUUUUGACAAAUUUUUCCGAGGCAUUCGUUCCCAACACUUGGGUGAAAUGUUCAUUUGGCAAUGCUUACUGCAAACAAAACCAUUCAAAACAAUGCCUCUCUGGUUUCUCCUGCGAAAGAUGAGAAUACCUUUUUAUCCUUCUAGGAAGCUUCUAGGUUGGCAAUUCUUUUGUAUUUUCAAACAAUGAUUCAGAUUGAAUUAUUAUUAAUUGUGGAUAAGGGUAUAGGAAAUAGAGAUAAAACUGCAAGAACAAAGUACUGCAUUUUAUUAUACAAAGAUUAUAUAUGUAAACAUCUUGCAAAUAGGUUUCACUUUUUGAUGGGAUUUUGUUCUGGUAUAUAAUAAAGAUGGUAUACAGAUUCCAAAAC